rnacentral:rRNA from 1 species
AUGCGAUACUUGGUGUGAAUUGCAGAAUCCCGUGAAUCAUCGAGUUUUUGAACGCAAGUUGCGCCCGAGGCCAUUAGGCCAAGGGCACGUCUGCCUGGGCGUCACAC